AUUGAACGCUGGCGGCAUGCUUUACACAUGCAAGUCGAACGGUAACAGGCCGCAAGGUGCUGACGAGUGGCGAACGGGUGCGUAAUGCAUCGGAACGUGCCCAGUCGUGGGGGAUAACUACUCGAAAGAGUAGCUAAUACCGCAUACGAUCUAUGAAUUAAAGCGGGGGACCGUAAGGCCUCGCGCGAUUGGAGCUGCCGCUGUCAGAUUAGGUAGUUGGUGGGGUAAAGGCUCACCAAGCCAACGAUCUGUAGCUGGUCUGAGAGGACGACCAGCCACACUGGGACUGAGACACGGCCCAGACUCCUACGGGAGGCAGCAGUGGGGAAUUUUGGACAAUGGGCGCAAGCCUGAUCCAGCAAUGCCGCGUGCAGGAAGAAGGCCUUCGGGUUGUAAACUGCUUUUGUACGGAACGAAACGGCUCUGGUUAAUACCCGGGGCUAAUGACGGUACCGUAAGAAUAAGCACCGGCUAACUACGUG
rnacentral:rRNA from 1 species